rnacentral:rRNA from 1 species
GAGUUUGAUCCUGGCUCAGUGAUAAACGCUGGCGGCGUGCCUAAUGCAUGCAAGUCGAACGGGAACCUCUUCGGAGGUCGACCGUGGCGGACGGGUGAGGAGCACGUAGCUGACCUGCCCUGGUGUGGGGGAUAUCCUCCGGAAACGGAGUGUAAUACCGCAUGUGCCCAUUUGGAGGGAUCUGGAUGAGGAAAGCCGAGAGGCGUACCAGGGGGGGCUGCGUCCGAUUAGCUAGUUGGUGGGGUAACGGCUCACCAAGGCGAUGAUCGGUAGCUGGUCUGAGAGGACGAUCAGCCACACGGGGACUGAGACACGGCCCCGACUCCUACGGGAGGCAGCAGCAAGGAAUUUUCCACAAUGGGCGCAAGCCUGAUGGAGCAACGCCGCGUGGGGGAUGACGCACUUCGGUGUGUAAACCCCCUUUCGAGGGGACGAAGACAAUGACGGUACCCUCGGAAUAAGGAUCGGCUAACUACGUGCCAGCAGCCGCGGUAAGACGUAGGAUCCGAGCGUUGUCCGGAGUUACUGGGCGUAAAGCGCGCGCAGGCGGUUACACGCAUCGGCGGUGAAAGCCCCCCGGCUCAACGGGGGAGGGUCCGUCGAGAUGGGUGUGACUGGAGGCAGGGAGAGGCCAGUUGGAAAUUCCCGGG